UUGUGCCAGCAGCCGCGGUAAUUCCAGCUCCAAUAGCGUAUAUUAAAGUUGUUGUGGUUAAAAAGCUCGUAGUUGAACCUUGGGCCUGGCUGGCCGGUCCGCCUCACCGCGUGCACUGGUCCGGCCGGGCCUUUCCCUCUGUGGAACCCCAUACCCUUCACUGGGCGUGGCGGGGAAACAGGACAUUUACUUUGAAAAAAUUAGAGUGCUCCAGGCAGGCCUAUGCUCGAAUACAUUAGCAUGGAAUAAUAAAAUAGGACGCGCGGUUCUAUUUUGUUGGUUUAUAGGACCGCCGUAAUGAUUAAUAGGGACAGUCGGGGGCAUCAGUAUUCAACUGUCAGAGGUGAAAUUCUUGGAUCAGUUGAAGACUAACUACUGCGAAAGCUUUUGCCAAGGAUGUUUUCAUUAAUCAGGAACGAAAGUUAGGGGAACGAAGACGAUCAGAUACCGUCGGAGGCUUAACCAUAAACUAUGCCGACUAGGGGAUCGGGAACGGUGAUAUCAUGACCCGUUCGACACCUUACGAAGAAAUCAAAAUGCCUUGGGCUCCAGGGGGAGGAUGGUCGCAAGGCUGGAACUUAAAAAAAUAGACGGAAGGGCACCACAGGGGUGGAAGCCUGCGGUUUAAGUUUGACUUCACACGGGGAAAAUUCACGAGGAUCCAGAGACAGAAAAGAUUGACAGAGUGAAGAACCCUGUCUUGAAUUUGUGAGUGGAGGUGCAUAGGCCGAUCCUUAGUUGUGGGAUGACUUGGUGUGCUUUAAGUCGGAUAAUGAACGACGACUUUACCUGGGCAAAUGACCCGAGAAUGCCGCCGGAGUAGCGCGUUGUAUAUU
rnacentral:rRNA from 1 species